rnacentral:rRNA from 1 species
AUUGAACGCUGGCGGCAGGCCUAACACAUGCAAGUCGAGCGGAUGAAGGGAGCUUGCUCCUGGAUUCAGCGGCGGACGGGUAAGUAAUGCCUAGGAAUCUGCCUGGUAGUGGGGGAUAACGUCCGGAAACGGGCGCUAAUACCGUAUACGUCCUGAGGGAGAAAGUGGGGGAUCUUCGGACCUCACGCUAUCAGAUGAGCCUAGGUCGGAUUAGCUAGUUGGUGGGGUAAAGGCCUACAAAGGCGACGAUCCGUAACUGGUCUGAGAGGAUGAUCAGUCACACUGGAACUGAGACACGGUCCAGACUCCUACGGGAGGAAGCAGUGGGGAAUAUUGGACAAUGGGCGAAAGCCUGAUCCAGCCAUGCCGCGUGUGUGGAGAAGGUCUUCGGAUUGUAAAGCACUUUAAGUUGGGAGGAAGGGCAGUAAGUUAAUACCUUGCUGUUUUGACGUUACCAACAGAAUAAGCACCGGCUAACUUCGUG